rnacentral:rRNA from 1 species
CCUACGGGUGGCUGCAGUGGGGAAUAUUGCACAAUGGGCGCAAGCCUGAUGCAGCGACGCCGCGUGGGGGAUGACGGCCUUCGGGUUGUAAACUCCUUUCGCCAGGGACGAAGCGUAAGUGACGGUACCUGGAUAAGAAGCACCGGCUAACUACGUGCCAGCAGCCGCGGUAAUACGUAGGGUGCAAGCGUUGUCCGGAAUUACUGGGCGUAAAGAGCUCGUAGGUGGUUUGUCGCGUCGUUUGUGGAAUACCGCAGCUUAACUGUGGGGUUGCAGGCGAUACGGGCAUAACUUGAGUGCUGUAGGGGAGACUGGAAUUCCUGGUGUAGCGGUGGAAUGCGCAGAUAUCAGGAGGAACACCGAUGGCGAAGGCAGGUCUCUGGGCAGUAACUGACGCUGAGGAGCGACAGCAUGGGUAGCGAACAGGAUUAGAUACCCUUGUAGUC